rnacentral:piRNA from 1 species
UAACACUUCAAAGGUAUCGAGGA